rnacentral:rRNA from 1 species
UACGUAGGUUGCAAGCGUUGUCCGGAAUUAUUGGGCGUAAAGGGCGUGUAGGUGGAUUCUUAAGUCGUGUGUCUAAGUGCGGAGCUCAACUCCGUAUAGGCGCAGGAAACUGGGAAUCUUGAGUGCAGGAGAGGAAAGUGGAAUUCCCAGUGUAGCGGUGAAAUGCGUAGAUAUUGGGAGGAACACCAGUGGCGAAGGCGACUUUCUGGACUGUGUCUGACACUGAGGCGCGAAAGCUAGGGGAGCGAACGGG